GACGAACGCUGGCGGCGUGCUUAACACAUGCAAGUCGAACGAUGAACCCGGAGCUUGCUCUGGGGGAUUAGUGGCGAACGGGUGAGUAACACGUGAGUAACCUGCCCUGGACUCUGGGAUAAGCGUUGGAAACGACGUCUAAUACCGGAUAGGACCUUGGAUCGCAUGAUCUGGGGUGGAAAGUUUUUUCGGUCUGGGAUGGACUCGCGGCCUAUCAGCUUGUUGGUGAGGUAAUGGCUCACCAAGGCGUCGACGGGUAGCCGGCCUGAGAGGGUGACCGGCCACACUGGGACUGAGACACGGCCCAGACUCCUACGGGAGGCAGCAGUAGGGAAUAUUGCACAAUGGGCGAAAGCCUGAUGCAGCAACGCCGCGUGCGGGAUGACGGCCGUCGGGUUGUAAACCGCUUUUAGUAGGGAAGAAGGGCUUCGGCUUGACGGUACCUGCAGAAAAAGGACCGGCUAACUACGUG
rnacentral:rRNA from 1 species